UUCCCUGAAAGAGGGACAUCCGGCAAGCUGUCCGCGUUAGCGCAGGCCGCUGGCAUGCGGGCUACUUCACACAUGAACGUACUGUUGAGAGGGAGAACAUUCACAGCAACAAGAAGAACGUUGACCAAUUUAUACGUAAUUAAAAGGACAUAACACUACAAUACACGUCGUCCGCCAGUUCUAGUGAGGAGUUGUCAGCCCCACGCCCAACCUUCAUGGUGGAGGACUACCCCCUGUCUGCUGUCCGCGACUGCUUAUUCAAUAUACGCAUCUAGCCUCCGUAUCUGGUGGCCGUCUGCCCCAUCGACAACCUUGAGGACGCGCCAUGCCGUGGUGACAAGGGACCCGCCUAACGUGGACAGAACCUCAGAGGAGGAUAACGAAGUCCAGGAACUGCAAUGGCGAUAGGGACUAAUUCAGAAAUAUUGCAUGCUUUCCCAGAACAUCACGCGGGUGCAACUUUAAAUCGCGUUUACUGAAAACUGGGAAGGAAAACCCAAGAGCUGGACGGCGGAGCCAAGCUGUUUUCUCUUCACCACGUCCAGAUUGGCUAUGGACCCACCGAGCCUUAUAUCCAGUGGGGACGGACGAUCUUUCGUAUGGGGUUAAGAAGCCAGAGGAUGAAACUGAGUACACUCCAUUCAUUGUGUGAUUAAGCACAGCCAGUAAUUUCCCUUUACGGGAUAGCUUACACAGUAUAGCAAAAGACUAUGGGCUGGACGACCGGGGU